rnacentral:misc_RNA from 1 species
AAGAGUUAUCACUCCACUUCCAGCUCCAAAACUAAUGGAUCUUCCAAUGUUUCAAGGAGAGCAUAGAGAGAGCUUGUAUUGGGGUACUUACAGGCCUCAGGUUUAUUUUGGAGUUCGCGCAAGGACUCCGCAAUCAUUAGUUGCUGGCUUAAUGUGGCUUGGAGUCAAGAAUGAGAGGUAUUUCAUGCGUCAUGUAUGCCAAGAUUCAGAUGAGUUGAAACAAUAUGGCUGGACUAGUCAUAAUGGACGGGAUUAUGGACAUCAGGUUCUGAGUGAACAGGCAAUGACCUUGACUACUAGUUUUCUGAAAUCCAAGGAUCAUGGUAGUGGCUAUGGUGGAGACUGGGCUGUUCGAAUUGGAGUGCAGAGCAAUGAAUCUGUCCCUGAUGAAGAAAUGUUAAAAACCGCACACUUGUUUUUUUAUGUGGCUGAUGAAGGCGGGAAAAGUCUUACUUUGGGUAGCCGAGUCUUGGAUAUUCAUGGUGAUUCUAUUUUGGCAUCAGGAUCACGUAGUGACAUUGGAGACUGGCAGCUCCACUUAUUUUCAGAGGAUGUAUCUGGAGUACAUUAUUCUGGCUUCAAGACACCUCACAUUCACAAUCUCUCUGAUCUAGUCCAGGCAAAUUUGGCAGUCCAAGCAAGACAAUUUGGCCAUUUACAGCUUUCGGACUCAUCUGAUGAUUCUCCCAGCAUUUUAGUAUUUCAGAUUUCUGCUAGGAUUCCUUUCAAAGCAGACAUUGUUUUUCUUUCUGGAACCAGUACUCGUGAUUCAAGAGUUGAAGAACGGGCCAGCAGGCUGACAGGUACUUCAUUGACUAGUUUAUUCUCUGAGAAGCAAAAGGAGUUCGACAAUAAGUUUAAGAAAAGCUUUAUCCUAUCUGAUGAGCUUGGUUUGGAGCCUGUGACUGUUGGUAAGGCUGCUCUUGGAAACAUGUUGGGUGGGAUUGGAUACUUCUUUGGCCAGUCAAAGAUUUCACUUCCAUCAAUCUCCACUCCUAAUGCUGGGGAUAAUUCUGUCUUAUACUGGCCUGCUGAGCUAUAUACAGCAGUUCCAAGUCGGCCCUUCUUCCCAAGGGGCUUCCUAUGGGACGAAGGUUUUCAUCAACUGCUAAUUUGGCGUUGGGAUGUAUACAUUAGCUUGGAUAUCAUUGGACAUUGGUUAGAUCUGAUGAAUAUUGAUGGAUGGAUUCCGCGCGAGCUAAUCUUAGGUGCCGAAGCAUUGAGUAAGGUCCCAGAAGAAUUUGUUCUUCAGCAUCCAACUAAUGGAAACCCACCGACACUGUUUUUGGCCUUGCGAGAUCUGAUCUCCAAGCUGAAGAAAGAAAAGUUUGCUGCAACUGAGGCCAGGGAUAUCUCUGUCUUCUUGGAUCGGGCAUUUGUCCGCCUCGAAGCAUGGUUCAAAUGGUUUAACACAACUCA